rnacentral:tRNA from 1 species
GGAGAAGUGGCUGAGCGGUUCAAGGCGAUAACUUGCUACGUUAUUGUAUUUAAAAACAUCGUGGGUUCAAAUCCCACCUUCUCC